AUGCUGCUGAUAUUCCCAGUGAUGCUCCUGCUGAUGCUGCUGAUAUUCCCAGUGAUGCUCCUCCUGCUGCUGCUGAAACUGCCUGUGAUGCUCUUCCUGCUGCUGCUGAAACUCUCAGUGAUGCUCCUCCCGCUGCUGCUGAAACUCCCAGUGAUGCUCCUCCUGAUACUGCCAGUGAUGGUCCUCGUGAUGCUUCUAAAACUGCAUGUGAUGCUCCUCUUGUUGCUGCUGAUACUGCCAAUGAUGCUCGUCCUAAUGCGGCUGAUUCUGCUUGUGAUGCUCCUCCCGAUGCUGCUGAUUUUGCUUGUGAUGCUGCUAAUUCUGGCUGUGAUGCUCCUUGUGAUGCUGCUGAUUCUGCUUUUGAUGCUCCUCCUGAUGCUGCUGAUUUUGCUUGUGAUGCUGCUGAUUCUGCCUGCGAUACUCCUCCUGAUGUUACUGAUUCUGCUUGUGAUGCUGCUGAUUCUGCCUGCGAUACUCCUCCUGAUGUUACUGAUUCUGCUUGUGAUGCUGCUGAUUCUGCCUGCGAUACUCCUCCUGAUGUUACUGAUUCUGCUUGUGAUGCUGCUGAUUCUGCCUGCGAUACUCCUCCUGAUGUUACUGAUUCUGCUUGUGAUGCUGUUGAUUCUGCCUGUGAUACUCCUCCUGAUGUUACUGAUUCUGCCUGUGAUACUGAUGAUUCUGCCUGUGAUACCCCUCCUGAUGUUACUGAUUCUGCCUGUGAUACUGAUGAUUCUGCCUGUGAUACCCCUCCUGAUGUUACUGAUUCUGCCUGUGAUACUGAUGAUUCUGCCUGUGAUACCCCUCCUGAUGUUACUGAUUCUGCCUGUGAUACUGAUGAUUCUGCCUGUGAUACCCCUCCUGAUGUUACUGAUUCUGCCUGUGAUACUGAUGAUUCUGCCUGUGAUACCCCUCCUGAUGUUACUGAUUCUGCCUGUGAUACUGAUGAUUCUGCCUGUGAUACCCCUCCUGAUGUUACUGAUUCUGCCUGUGAUACUGAUGAUUCUGCCUGUGAUACCCCUCCUGAUGUUACUGAUUCUGCCUGUGAUACUGAUGAUUCUGCCUGUGAUACCCCUCCUGAUGUUACUGAUUCUGCCUGUGAUACUGAUGAUUCUGCCUGUGAUACCCCUCCUGAUGUUACUGAUUCUGCCUGUGAUACUGAUGAUUCUGCCUGUGAUACCCCUCCUGAUGUUACUGAUUCUGCCUGUGAUACUGAUGAUUCUGCCUGUGAUACCCCUCCUGAUGUUACUGAUUCUGCCUGUGAUACUGAUGAUUCUGCUUGUGGUGCUACUGAUUCUGAUUGUGAUGCUUUUCCUGAUACUGCCAAUUCUGCUUGUGUUGCUGCUGAUUCUGCCUGCGAUACUCCUCCUGAUGUUACUGAUUCUACCUGUGAUACUGAUGAUUCUGCUUGUGGUGCUACUGAUUCUGAUUGUGAUGCUUCUCCUGAUACUGCCAAUUCUGCUUGUGUUUCUGCUGAUUCUGCCUGCGAUACUCCUCGUGAUGUUACUGAUUCUACCUGUGAUACUGAUGAUUCUGCUUGUGGUGCUACUGAUUCUGAUUGUGAUGCUCCUCCUGAUACUAACAAUUCUGCUUGUGGUGCUACUGAUUCUGGUUGUGAUGCUUCUAGUCCUGUUUGUGAUGCUGCUGCUGCUAUUGCUGCAGAUCCUGAUCCUACAAUUAGUGUUGCAGUGGGUAACGCCUUUAAACACCAUUCUACUGCUGCUUUUACUCUUUUUAUCAAGGCUAAAACCCACUGUAACUUAUCUAUUACCACCUGUAUUUUAUUUACCACCCAAUGUAAUUGUGUUCUUGCUAUUGGUACUAUUGCAGCUCCAGCCAUUGCUCCAGUUACUGCUGAUGCUGUCAGUGAUUGUGCUCCUACCAGUGAUCGCAAUAUUGCUGCUGCUAUUCCUGCUAGGCCUCCUGCUACUGCUGUUACUAAUACUUCUCCUGUUUUUGUUUCUGCUUCCCAUAAUGAUUGUAAAAUGCUUACUCCAGCUGCAGCUCCUGCUGCUGCUCCUAUUACUGUGUCAGCUAUUGUUAUUCCUGACAUUGCUACUAUUACUGCUACUGCUACUGUCACUGCUAUUGUUACUGUUAGUGGUUUUGGUUUCCAUGUUGCUUGCAGUGUGUAUUGUAGAGUUGCCCUUUGUUCUCCUGUUGCUUCUUCUCCUGGUCCUGAAAAAAAUAAAUAAAAGAAUAAUAAUUUUAAUCAACAUGUCAUCAUCACAGAAAUACAAACAUCUUACGAUUUGCUCAGCAUAUGAAUAGGAUAAUGAUGUUAUCCAAUCAUAUAAAUUUAAUGUCUUACCCAUGUUGUCAGAUUUUAAAUCACCAGGAUAUGAGGAUUCAGAUCUUCUAAUCACUCUUGUCAAGUUCACACAGGGCCUGCCUGUGGUUUGUGGAACUCUAGGCAAGAUCAUGACAUAAUAUUGACAUAAUAUUAAAAUGUAACAACUACAAUCAUGACAACUGCACUGAAAAAUAGAUGACUAAAACAAGCACACUGUACAUAGGUUGUUGACCAAUA
ensembl:lncRNA